UAAUUCCCCCCCCCCCCCUCUCUCUCUCUCGCGCGAACACGGUGACGAAGAUCUAUCCAAGAGUUUCGAUCAACAUUCAUCGGAUUUGAAGACUCUAAAUCGAAGCUUGAAGAUCUGUCGUAUUUUCCAAUCGAAGACUUUGAUAGGUUAGUAGAUGGUGGUGUCAUGAUCUUCUUGCUGGUGUGGGCUCUGACCUGGCCUUUUGGAGUCAGUUCCCGAUGGUGCCAUAGAUGAUUUUAUCAUAAUUGAUCUGGUAUAGCAGAGAGCGAGUACAGUACGGUUGAGUGGGUCAGGAAAGUUUACACUUUGAUGAGUUAUUUUUAGAGAAUCAGACUUCGGAUCUAAAAUGAUUCGGAUCUCAAUGAAAACAUGGAUCAAACAGUGGAAAAAGAGCAUACACACUUUGUAUCAAGGUCAUUCUGAACCUGUUUAUUCAGGUCUAUAUAGUUCCUCGGGGGAUUUUCUUCUAUCAGAUUCAACAAGUAUGUUAUAUAAGAUGCAGUUACAUGUUCUAUUUGUCUCAGUUAAUAGAAGGGUCACAAUUACCUUGUGUGCGAUGUUUGGGUCAAAACCAUUAAUCAUUUACCUAUUGCUUUAGGUUUUCUCUUAAUUUCUAUAUGUGUAUAAAGUUUACUCCAUUUGGACAUCAUUUUGCAAGUGCAUCUCAUGACAGAACAAGGGUUUGGUCAAUAGAUAGAGUACCACCUUUAAGGAUAUUGGCAGGACAUCUAUCUGAUGUUGAUGUGAGCUUUUUGUGAAGAGGUUGAAGUAUUGGUUGGUAGAAAAGGGUCAUGUUUUAAUAUGAGGCGGGUUGGGUAGGGUUGACCCGCAAACCUUUUAUUCUUCAAUUAAGGAUUUUUUGAGAUAUGUUAAUCUGAAAAUAGAUGAUAUAUAUUCACUUAAAAUGAAACGAUUUCAAGUGUUCUUUUUGAAUGUUUUGGAUGUGUAGAGGCUGAUCUUGAAAUGGCAGAUGUGACUGAAAAUGAGUUAGCAGCUCUUUUCUUUAUGAAUUGUUAUGAUUUUUUUGGUUUAUCUGGUUAAUGAUGGUUAUUAUAUGUUUGUGUUAUGGGUACAUGCACGUGAGAGACCUGAAAUUGCACGAGAUCAAAAGGAGAAGUUUCUACACCGUUUCUAGCAAGUGCAGCAACAAACUCAGAGUAAUACGCUUCUUAACAUGCCUCCGAUUUCUGCUAGAAACCAUAAACAAUUCUCGCCACAGCAGAGUCCUCUUUUUCAACAGAUGGGUCUUUAUGUAUCUAGAUCAUUGCAAACUUUGCUUAAAUAUAAUUAUUUUAUGAAAAUAUGUUGAUUAGUAAAGUUUAGUUUGUUAAGAAUUACGAUAUGUAUGAAUAUUAUUUGCAGUUCAAUUCUCAAAGUCCACCAGUUCCCUAGUUC